rnacentral:rRNA from 1 species
GAUGAACGCUGGCGGCGUGCCUAAUACAUGCAAGUCGAGCGAACGGACGAGAAGCUUGCUUCUCUGAUGUUAGCGGCGGACGGGUGAGUAACACGUGGAUAACCUACCUAUAAGACUGGGAUAACUUCGGGAAACCGGAGCUAAUACCGGAUGAUAUUUUGAACCGCAUGGUUCAAAAGUGAAAGACGGUCUUGCUGUCACUUAUAGAUGGAUCCGCGCUGCAUUAGCUAGUUGGCAAGGUAACGGCUUACCAAGGCAACGAUGCAUAGCCGACCUGAGAGGGUGAUCGGCCACACUGGAACUGAGACACGGUCCAGACUCCUACGGGAGGCAGCAGUAGGGAAUCUUCCGCAAAGGGCGAAAGCCUGACGGAGCAACGCCGCGUGAGUGAUGAAGGUCUUCGGAUCGUAAAACUCUGUUAUUAGGGAAGAACAUAUGUGUAAGUAACUGUGCACAUCUUGACGGUACCUAAUCAGAAAGCCACGGCUAACUACGUG